CCUACGGGGGGCAGCAGUGGGGAAUAUUGCACAAUGGGGGGAACCCUGAUGCAGCGACGCCGCGUGAGUGAAGAAGUAUUUCGGUAUGUAAAGCUCUAUCAGCAGGGAAGAAGAUGACGGUACCUGAGUAAGAAGCCCCGGCUAACUACGUGCCAGCAGCCGCGGUAAUACGUAGGGGGCAAGCGUUAUCCGGAUUUACUGGGUGUAAAGGGAGCGCAGACGGCAGCGUAAGUCUGAAGUGAAAGCCCGCGGCUUAACCGCGGGACUGCUUUGGAAACUACGCGGCUUGAGUGUCGGAGGGGCAGGCGGAAUUCCUGGUGUAGCGGUGAAAUGCGUAGAUAUCAGGAAGAACACCGGUGGCGAAGGCGGCCUGCUGGACGACAACUGACGUUGAGGCUCGAAGGCGUGGGGAGCGAACAGGAUUAGAUACCCUGGUAGUC
rnacentral:rRNA from 1 species